AUACCUCUAGAGGUACUGUAGUGUGGCUGUAAUGUCAAAGAGUGCAUCAGUAGGUGGCAGAGUAGGCGCUCAGUGUUCUGACCUGUGGAAUCUAAUUGACUAGUAGCCUAACACU
rnacentral:snoRNA from 1 species